GACGGAGGAUGCAAGCGUUAUCCGGAAUGAUUGGGCGUAAAGCGUCCGCAGGUGGCAAUGUAAGUCUGCUGUUAAAGAGUCUAGCUCAACUAGAUAAGAGCAGUGGAAACUACAUAGCUAGAGUACGUUCGGGGCAGAGGGAAUUCCUGGUGUAGCGGUGAAAUGCGUAGAGAUCAGGAAGAACACCGGUGGCGAAGGCGCUCUGCUAGGCCGUAACUGACACUGAGGGACGAAAGCUAGGGGAGCGAAUGGG
rnacentral:rRNA from 1 species